AGUGAACGCUGGCGGUGGGCCUAACACAUGCAAGUCGAACGGCAGCACAGUAAGAGCUUGCUCUUACGGGUGGCGAGUGGCGGACGGGUGAGGAAUACAUCGGAAUCUACUUUUUCGUGGGGGAUAACGUAGGGAAACUUACUCUAAUACCGCAUACGACCUACGGGUGAAAGCAGGGGAUCUUCGGACUUUGCGCGAUUGAAUGAGCCGAUGUCGGAUUAGCUAGUUGGCGGGGUAAAGGCCCACCAAGGCGACGAUCCGUAGCUGGUCUGAGAGGAUGAUCAGCCACAUUGGAACUGAGACACGGUCCAGACUCCUACGAGAGGCAGCAGUGGGGAAUAUGGGACAAUAGGCGGAAGCCUGAUCCAGCCAUACCGAGUGGGUGAAGAAGGCCUUCGGGUUGUAAAGACCUUUUGUUGGGAAAGAAAAGCAGCAGGUUAAUACCCCGCUGUUCUGACGGUACCGAAAGAAUAAGCACCGGCUAACUUCGUG
rnacentral:rRNA from 1 species